ACGGUACAAAGAGCUGCAAGACCGCGAGGUGGAGCUAAUCUCAUAAAACCGUUCUCAGUUCGGAUUGUAGGCUGCAACUCGCCUACAUGAAGCUGGAAUCGCUAGUAAUCGCGGAUCAGCAUGCCGCGGUGAAUACGUUCCCGGGCCUUGUACACACCGCCC
rnacentral:rRNA from 1 species